UGGGGAAUAUUGGACAAUGGGCGCAAGCCUGAUCCAGCCAUGCCGCGUGAGUGAUGAAGGCCCUAGGGUUGUAAAGCUCUUUUGUGCGGGAAGAUAAUGACUGUACCGCAAGAAUAAGCCCCGGCUAACUUCGUGCCAGCAGCCGCGGUAAUACGAAGGGGGCUAGCGUUGCUCGGAAUCACUGGGCGUAAAGCGCACGUAGGCGGACUCUUAAGUCGGUGGUGAAAUCCUGGAGCUCAACUCCAGAACUGCCUUCGAUACUGGGAGUCUCGAGUUCGGGAGAGGUGAGUGGAACUGCGAGUGUAGAGGUGAAAUUCGUAGAUAUUCGCAAGAACACCAGUGGCGAAGGCGGCUCACUGGCCCGAUACUGACGCUGAGGUGCGAAAGCGUGGGGAGCAAACA
rnacentral:rRNA from 1 species